rnacentral:rRNA from 1 species
CCUACGGGUGGCAGCAGUGGGGAAUAUUGGACAAUGGGCGAAAGCCUGAUCCAGCCAUGCCGCGUGUGUGAAGAAGGCCUUCGGGUUGUAAAGCACUUUCAGUGGGGAAGAAAGCCUUGGGGCUAAUACCCUCGAGGAAGGACAUCACCCACAGAAGAAGCACCGGCUAACUCCGUGCCAGCAGCCGCGGUAAUACGGAGGGUGCGAGCGUUAAUCGGAAUUACUGGGCGUAAAGCGCGCGUAGGCGGUCUGAUAAGCCGGUUGUGAAAGCCCCGGGCUCAACCUGGGAACGGCAUCCGGAACUGUCAGGCUAGAGUGCAGGAGAGGAAGGUAGAAUUCCCGGUGUAGCGGUGAAAUGCGUAGAGAUCGGGAGGAAUACCAGUGGCGGAGGCGGCCUUCUGGACUGACACUGACGCUGAGGUGCGAAAGCGUGGGUAGCAAACAGGAUUAGAUACCCCUGUAGUC